CCAAAAAGAUAGUACAUAUUCUAAGAUUCCAUUUACAUAAAAUUCAACAAAAUACCAAUUACCCUAGGGUGGCAAAAAGUAGAUCAGCGACUGGAAAGAGGAUUAGGAAAUGGAAAGAGAAGGAGAAAUGGAGAGAGGGGAGGGAUGAGAGGAAAACUUUUAGAGUGAUGGGUAUGUUCAGUGUCUUGACCGAUCGGAAGAGCA